AAAGUUUUCUAAAUCAGAGCUAACCAUUGGCCACAACAAGGACUAUUUUCAUGCAUGGCAAUGAUAUUCUCUGUAUGAGAUAUAGUUGUCUUCCAUUAACUUUUUCUUCCUUCUCUCGUCUUUCACUCUCUUUAAAACCCCUUCUCUCUUACAUCUCCGCCUCCCUCGAUCUCUCCCUUUCGUUCUUCAGAAUAAGAGUACUUUCAAGAAGAGAAGAAGGCAAGAAAGGGAGGAGAUAAUGGUGUUCUUAAAAAGCUUGUGUUGUGGAAGGAGGAAGAGGUUUUCUUUUAUGAAAUCUCCUCAUGACUAAUAAUAGCCUGGUGCUAUCCUGUCUGAGCUUUAUUUAGGUUGUAUUUUUAUAUAUUUUUUGUAUGUUUUGUCGUAUAUUUCUUCUUGCCACACCAUUCAUCUUCUGCUCUAGUAUUUUUUUCUGGUCCGCUCCCUUCUUGACCUUGUAAGACCUUUUCUUGACCUUGUAAGACCCCACUCAUCAAUUUUUUUCUUCGAUCUUUGCUCUUACGUGCUAUAAGAGCUUUCUCUGUGUUCUUCUCCUCUUCCCCCUUCUAUCCCUCCUGAGCUAAUGAGGACUUGUUGAUUGAAUAAUGAAAGAAAUGAACUUUGUGUUCAUUAAGCUAAUUAAGUGAGAUCUUUAUCCUUUUGGAAUCUGAUUAUUGUAUUUUGUUUGAUAGGCUAUAAGUCUUUUUGUAAUA